rnacentral:lncRNA from 1 species
UUUCGGUGGGCGGGGUCGGAACCCAUGGAGAACAUUUCGGCCUUCUUGAGCUCGAUUAGUAUGCCCACGGUCGAGGUUAUUUUCAUAGCUCGACAUCGGAGUCUACGUAUGGGGGCCGAGUUAGGCCCUAGUUUGCGAAGACUUGCAUAAGUCGUUAUGAAGGUUCAACAGACGGGAGUAUGCAUAAUGCUGAUGGGAG